AGAGUUUGAUCCGGGCUCAGGACGAACGCUGGCGGCGUGCUUAACACAUGCAAGUCGAACGAGGUCCAUGGUGCUUGCACCGGAAGACCUAGUGGCGAACGGGUGAGGAACACGUGAGAAACCUGCCCCGGACUUCGGGAUAACAGUUGGAAACGACUGCUAAUACCGAAUACCGCUGCGGAGUCGCAUGGCUCUGCAACGAAAGAAUUUCGGUCCGGGAGGGUCUCGCGGCCUAUCAGCUAGUUGGUGGGGUAACGGCCUACCAAGGCAUCGACGGGUAGCUGGUCUGAGAGGAUGAUCAGCCACACUGGGACUGAGACACGGCCCAGACUCCUACGGGAGGCAGCAGUGGGGAAUCUUGCGCAAUGGGCGAAAGCCUGACGCAGCAACGCCGCGUGCGGGAAGAAGGCCUUCGGGUUGUAAACCGCUUUCAGCAGGAACGAAAAUGACGGUACCUGCAGAAGAAGGUGCGGCCAACUACGUGCCAGCAGCCGCGGUGACACGUAGGCACCAAGCGUUGUCCGGAUUUAUUGGGCGUAAAGAGCUCGUAGGCGGUUCAGUAAGUCGGGUGUGAAAACUGUGGGCUUAACCCACAGCCUGCACUCGAAACUGCUGUGACUAGAGUUCGGUAGGGGAGCGGGGAAUUCCUGGUGUAGCGGUGAAAUGCGCAGAUAUCAGGAGGAACACCGGUGGCGAAGGCGCCGCUCUGGGCCGACACUGACGCUGAGGAGCGAAAGCGUGGGUAGCAAACAGGAUUAGAUACCCUGGUAGUCCACGCCGUAAACGUUGGGCACUAGGUG
rnacentral:rRNA from 1 species